AAUCCACUUCUGUAACAGGAUCAAGAACUAGGUUGCACACUCUUGUGUUCAACCCUCCAAGAAGUGGACCAACAUUGUAGGAAAUAGGCAUUCCAGAUAGAACUGCUGCCGAAUUCGUUAUUCCAAAUCCACAACCAAAAUUUGAAGACCAAUUUUACAUUGCACAUUAUAAAGAGAAGUUUAGGCAAUAUGGAUUAUGGGAUUGUUAUACAGAAAUAUACACUAAUGAUGAUUUAGUAUACAUUAUUGGAUCAAGCAACUAUCAAACAGAUUGGUUCUUUGCUCAUGUUAAUAGAUAUACUUACAAUGAUGAUGGGAACAAAACAUAUAUAACAACUACAUGGAAAAUUGUGUUU